UACAGAGGGUGCGAGCGUUGUCCGGAAUCACUGGGCGUAAAGGGCGCGUAGGUGGCUUACCCAAGCGUGUGGUGAAAGCCCGGGAGCUCAACUCCGGGGUCCUGCCCAUGCGAACUGGCAGGCUAGAGCACGGGUAGAGGCCAAUGGAAUUCCGGGGUGUAGCGGUGGAAUGCGUAGAGAUCCGGAAGAACACCGGUGCGAAGGCGGCAUCCUGGACCACGGACUGACGCUGAUGCGCCGAAAGCC
rnacentral:rRNA from 1 species